AGCGCAGGCGGUUUUUUUAAGUCUGAUGUGAAAGCCCUUGGCUCAACCAAGGAAGUGCAUCGGAAACUGGAGAACUUGAGUGCAGAAGAGGACAGUGGAACUCCAUGUGUAGCGGUGAAAUGCGUAGAUAUUAGGAGGAACACCAGUGGCGAAGGCGGCUUUCUGGACUGUAACUGACGCUGAGGCUGAAAGCCAGGGGGAGCGAACG
rnacentral:rRNA from 1 species